GACGAACGCUGGCGGCGUGCUUAACACAUGCAAGUCGAACGGAAAGGCCCUGCUUGCUGGGUACUCGAGUGGCGAACGGGUGAGUAACACGUGGGUUAUCUGCCCUGCACUUCGGGAUAAGCCUGGGAAACUGGGUCUAUUCCCGGAUAGGAGCUAUUUUUUGUGUGUUGGUUGGAAAGUUUUUUGGGUGUUGGAUGAGCUGGCGGCCUAUUAGCUUGUUGGGGGGGUAAUGGCCUACCAAGGCGGCGACGGGUAGCCGGCCUGUGGGGGUGGACAGCCACAUAGACUCUUAGGGGAGGCCGAAGCGCCGACGGGUGGCAAAAGGGCGGAAGAUUGAUCAAGGGGCGCAGGGCGGGUGCAGCAGGGCUGCGGGGGGGAAAGCGGCCUUCGGGUGGAAGAAUCGUUGCACUAGAAACGAAGCUUGUUGUGACGGUACCUAGAGAAGAAGCACCGGCUAACUACGUG
rnacentral:rRNA from 1 species